rnacentral:rRNA from 1 species
GACGAACGCUGGCGGCGUGCUUAACACAUGCAAGUCGAACGGAAAGGCCCAGCUUGCUGGGUGCUCGAGUGGCGAACGGGUGAGUAACACGUGGGUGAUCUGCCCCUAACUUCGGGAUAAGCUUGGGAAACUGGGUCUAAUACCGGAUAGGACAAUCGUUUAGUGUCGGUUGUGGAAAGUUUUUUCGGCUAGGGAUGAGCCCGCGGCCUAUCAGCUUGUUGGUGGGGUAAUGGCCUACCAAGGCGUCGACGGGUAGCCGGCCUGAGAGGGUGGACGGCCACAUUGGGACUGAGAUACGGCCCAGACUCCUACGGGAGGCAGCAGUGGGGAAUAUUGCACAAUGGGCGCAAGCCUGAUGCAGCGACGCCGCGUGGGGGAUGACGGCCUUCGGGUUGUAAACCUCUUUCGACAGGGACGAAGCUUUGGUGACGGUACCUGUAUAAGAAGCACCGGCUAACUACGUG